CAGCAGCCGCGGUAAAACGAAGGGUGCAAGCGUUACUCGGAAUUACUGGGCGUAAAGCGUGCGUAGGUGGUGGUUUAAGUCCGUUGUGAAAGCCCUGGGCUCAACCUGGGAAUUGCAGUGGAUACUGGAUCACUAGAGUGUGUCAGAGGAUGGUGGAAUUCCCGGUGUAGCGAUGAAAUGCGUAGAGAUCGGGAGGAACAUCAGUGGCGAAGGCGGCCAUCUGGGACAACACUGACGCUGAGGCACGAAAGCGUGGGGAGCAAACAGGAUUAGAUACCCCAGUAGUCCCUGUCUCUUAUAC
rnacentral:rRNA from 1 species